rnacentral:rRNA from 1 species
UGGGGAAUAUUGGACAAUGGGGGAAACCCUGAUCCAGCCAUGCCGCGUGUGUGAUGAAGGCCUUCGGGUUGUAAAGCACUUUCGCACGUGACGAUGAUGACGGUAACGUGAGAAGAAGCCCCGGCUAACUUCGUGCCAGCAGCCGCGGUAAUACGAAGGGGGCAAGCGUUGUUCGGAAUUACUGGGCGUAAAGGGCGCGUAGGCGGUGUACUAAGUCAGGCGUGAAAGCCCUGGGCUCAACCCGGGAAUUGCGCUUGAUACUGGUACGCUUGAAUCCAGGAGAGGUUGGUGGAAUUCCCAGUGUAGAGGUGAAAUUCGUAGAGAUUGGGAAGAACACCGGUGGCGAAGGCGGCCAACUGGACUGGUAUUGACGCUGAGGCGCGAAAGCGUGGGGAGCAAACA